UUCAGUUUGCUUUACAAUUUCAUUGUGCAUUACAUUGAUUUUGCGAUAGACGUGAGUACCACCAAUGUAGAAUUUCAUUUUUUUUCUUUUCCGAGUGUGAUCAACCUAGGCAUUAGGACUAACAACGAUGUAGAAAUCGGUAGCACUAAUGCAUCGGUGCCGGCAACCUUUAGCUCGAUGGAUUGAUCAGCCAUUGUCAUUGAACAAGAUACAGUGGACUUCAAUGUAAGGGUACUCAUAGGAUGACUAUAAUUGCAAGGCUAGCUAUCACAGUGUGCAAAGAGCUAUUGCUGAUUUAUAUGGUAGUUGGGAAGAGAGCUUCCAGUUGCUUUAUAACUUCAAAGCUGAAAUUGAGCUGAGAUCCCCAUGGAGUAUUAUAGAUAUUGCCACUAAGGAAGUUGAAGGUAAUAUUUUUUUUCGACAAGUUCUUCGUUGCGUUUAAACCCAAUAUAGAUGGAUUUUUGAAGGGGUGCAGAGUGCAGACCAUACAUAAGUAUAGAUUCAACUGCUUUAAAUGGCAAGUGGAAUGGGUAGCUAGCUGCGGUUACAGCUAUGGAUGGGCAUAAUUGGAUGUUUCCUGUUGCUUUUGGAUUUUUUGAUGUUGAAACAACAACAAAAAUGGUCUUGGUUUAUGAGUUAAUUGAAGAAGGCAAUAGGUGAUCCUCCAAUAUUAGUUGUAUGCACUGAUGCUUGCAAGGGUUUAGAAAAUGCAGUGAAGAAUAUUUUCCUUCAUGCCGAGCAAAGGGAGUGUUUCAAGCAUCUCAUGGGAAAUUUUGUUAAAAAAAUCCAUGGUGACUUGGGAGGCCACAUCUGGCCUGCUGCAAAGGCAUAUAAGAAAUCAAUAUUUCAUUACGACCCAAGUACUUACAGAAGAACCUAAGGUAUUGGAUUACCUUAAUGACCAUCACAAUUUGCUAUGGAUGAGGUGCAUUUCCUACUCUUUUCAAUUGUUAUUUAAUCAUCAAUUUUACUCGUACACUUAAUAACAAUAACCUCUUAGUGUGACAAGUUGAGAGAGAUGGUCAUGGAGCUGUUUAAGGAAGAGGAGAAAGAUUGGAGAGCGACUGCAAGGUAAAAUUCUACCAGCUAUCAUACAACAACUAAAUGCUAGGACUAGAAGAUUAGGCCAUCUUAAGCCACAAGCAUCAAGUGAUGGGAGUGUUGAGGUCAGGGAUACAUAAAAGGAUCACCUUAGGCAUGUAGUCAAGACACUUAACCGUGAAUGUGCUUGCCUCGAGUGGCAACAUACAGGCAAGCCAUGUCCACAUGCAUUGGUUGUUUUAACUGCAUUGCCUCACUGCAAGUUGGAGGACUUUUGUGCAUGUGUACUACUUAGUGCAAAAAUUCAGAGAAGCAUAUGAAUGGGAGAUAGAACCACUUACAGACAAGACUCAGUGGCCUGUAGUGGAUCCAGGGUUUGUUGUGCAUGCACCACUACCAAAAAGGGGUGCAGGAAGACGUUGGGAACUAAGGAUAAGGGGUGCUCCUGAGGGGGUUCAGGGAAAAAAUUUAAGAUGGGGGCAAGAACAAAUGCAAAAAAUGCCAUGAGCUGGGACACAAGGAAGCUGCAUGUCUAUACAAUGGGGUAAAGAAAAGGAAAAGUAGGAGAAAUGCGGCUCCAUGGGAAGCUGUAAGUAACUCCACAAUUGUCAACACAUCAAGCAAUGUAACUUCAUCUAGUCCUAGACCUGUCACAAGGAGUCCAAGGAAUGUCACUCCAUCUAGUCCUGGACCUGUCACAAGGUCUCAAACUGCCAUGUCUCCUGCCAAGACUCCAACCAAAUCUCUUGCAAGACCUUUCAAAAAGUUGACUCCGAAGAAGAGAAAAGUCCGCCAUCUUUGAUCUAAAUGGAGUCAUUUUGUCAUUUGCAAUACUUAUGUUUGAUUGUUAGCAUGGACUAAGUACUGUGUGCUGUGUGGAAAACCUUCAAUUCAUUUUUACCGGCUAUGUAUUAAAACAUUACUACUG